UACGGGGGGGGCAAGCGUUGUUCGGAAUUACUGGGCGUAAAGGGCUCGUAGGCGGCCAACUAAGUCGGACGUGAAAUCCCCAGGCUCAACCUGGGAACUGCGUCCGAUACUGGAUGGCUUGAAUCCGGGAGAGGGAUGCAGAACUCCAGGUGUAGCGGUGAAAUGCGCAGAUAUCGGGAGGAACACCAGUAGCGAAGGCGGCUCGCUGGGCCGUUCCUGACGCUGAGACGCGAAAGCUAGGGGAGCAAACGGG
rnacentral:rRNA from 1 species